AUUGAACGCUGGCGGCAUGCUUUACACAUGCAAGUCGAACGGUAACAGGUCUUCGGAUGCUGACGAGUGGCGAACGGGUGAGUAAUGCAUCGGAACGUGCCCGGUCGUGGGGGAUAACGCAGCGAAAGCUGUGCUAAUACCGCAUACGAUCUAAGGAUGAAAGCGGGGGACCGUAAGGCCUCGCGCGAUCGGAGCGGCCGAUGUCAGAUUAGGUAGUUGGUGGGGUAAAGGCUCACCAAGCCAACGAUCUGUAGCUGGUCUGAGAGGACGACCAGCCACACUGGGACUGAGACACGGCCCAGACUCCUAGGGGAGGCAGCAGUGGGGAAUUUUGGACAAUGGGCGCAAGCCUGAUCCAGCAAUGCCGCGUGCAGGAAGAAGGCCUUCGGGUUGUAAACUGCUUUUGUACGGAACGAAACGGUCUGGGUUAAUACCCUGGGCUAAUGACGGUACCGUAAGAAUAAGCACCGGCUAACUAUGUGCCAGCAGCAGCCGCAGUAA
rnacentral:rRNA from 1 species